CUGAAAAGAGCACAUCCGUUUUCCAGGCUGACGGCUUGCCAGAGAGCUCCACUGACCUCAUUCCGUCAGCUCUCAUUCUAGCCUGGGUCACUGUGACGGAUCCCCUGGAAGGGCCGCGGGAGAGCGAGAGGAAGAGGUGUGGAAAGGAAGUGAAAAGGACAGCGCAACCAGAAAAGCAAGCACAGAGUUCCCCAAACUUUUGAUGGCCAGUGUACAUUCCAUGGUUACUCGGAGGGAAUCUGCAGAAGAAGCAGUACACGCCACAGUUGUGGGAGAAGUGCAAAGAGAUUGAGUGAAAAAACGGAAAGAGUGAAUAAGGGAAAAGACACGUGGAUCAAUAAACCACCCAUUCUGUGGUUAUCAACAGACGUCUUAUUCUUCUUAUGCAGUUUUCCAUCAAGUGCUAAAAUGCAGAAGGGUCAGGUGUUGGCCUGCCGCUCCAUGUGACUGCCUGCUGAUGCAGCACUAAUGUUCAAACAGAGGACACGGCACGAAAAAGGCUGAAAGGAGAGCCGGCAGUGGGCCCUGUAUUGCCCAGUCAAUGGCGCUGGUUAAUAAUUCAUCAUGGUCCUGUCACAGGGUCAUCUGCAGCAUGGAAUCUUUAUGGGUAUUACCACACUCAAACAAUGCUGCCAUCUCAAAGGACAGUUUUGGAGUAGAAGGCCCAAAACAGU